GGAUAGUUAGAGCGUAAUUGGUAGCGUCGCGGGCUGUAACCCCGCUCCCUUAAAGGGCUUCUUGGUUCGAGUCCAAGGCUAUCCACCA
rnacentral:tRNA from 1 species